GAUGAACGCUGGCGGCGUGCCUAAUACAUGCAAGUCGAGCGAACGGACGAGAAGCUUGCUUCUCUGAUGUUAGCGGCGGACGGGUGAGUAACACGUGGAUAACCUACCUAUAAGACUGGGAUAACUUCGGGAAACCGGAGCUACUACCGGAUAAUAUUUUGAACCGCCUGGUUCAAAAGUGAAAGACGAUCUUGCUGUCACUUAUAGAUGGAUCCGCGCUGCAUUAGCUAGUUGGUAAGGUAACGGCUUACCAAGGCAACGAUGCAUAGCCGACCUGAGAGGGUGAUCAGCCACACUGGAACUGAGACACGGUCCAGACUCCUACGGGAGGCAGCAGUAGGGAAUCUUCCGCUAUGGGCGAAAGCCUGACGGAGCAACGCCGCGUGAGUGAUGAAGGUCUUCGGAUCGUAAAACUCUGUUAUUAGGGAAGAACAUAUGUGUAAGUAACUGUGCACAUCUUGACGGUACCUAAUCAGAAAGCCACGGCUAACUACGUG
rnacentral:rRNA from 1 species